GAUAAUGAUGAUAUAACUAGCAUGUUGCUCGAAGAUUAAUCGAUGUGAGCGCAAUGAUUUCUCAAAUAGACUACAACGGUAUCUGAAUAUU
rnacentral:snoRNA from 1 species